GAAUUUUAUAUAGUUAUUAAAAUUAAUUUUAUUGAAUAAAAUAAUUUUAAUUUAUAUUUGAUUGGGAGGAUUAUUAAAUUUUUAAAACUUUAAUUUGAAAAAUUACAUAAAUUAAUGAAUAUAUAAAAAAUUAAUUAAAGUAAAUUUAUAUAAAAAAAUUAAUUACCUUAGGGAUAACAGCGUGAUAUUUUUAGAGAGAUCUUAUUGAUAAAAAUGUUUGC
rnacentral:rRNA from 1 species